GUAGGUGGCAAGCGUUGUCCGGAAUUAUUGGGCGUAAAGCGCGCGCAGGUGGGUCCUUUAAGUCUGAUGUGAAAGCCCACGGGCUCAACCGUGGAGGGUCAUUGGAAACUGGGGGACUUGAGUACAGAAGAGGAAAGCGGAAUUCCAAGUGUAGCGGUGAAAUGCGUAGAGAUUUGGAGGAACACCAGUGGCGAAGGCGGCUUUCUGGUCUGUAACUGACGCUGAGGCGCGAAAGCGUGGGGAGCAAACAGGAUUAGAUACCCUGGUAGUCCACGCCGUAAACGAUGAGUGCUAAGUGUUAGGGGGUUUCCGCCCCUUAGUGCUGCAGCUAACGCAUUAAGCACUCCGCCUGGGGAGUACGGCCGCAAAGGCUG
rnacentral:rRNA from 1 species